UAACAAUGCUUUCUUCCAACUUUUUGAUUAGGAGUAACGAGACGGUUUAUAGAGAGAGAGUCUAAUUUGCCGCUAUGCCGGAGUGGAGAGAGCAGAGCGCGUGGAAGGAUGCUGCAGUUGUAAUAACUACUGGACGUAUUAAAUUAAAGGAAAGUAGUAUCUGUACACAUGGUGAUGACAAAUAUUAAUGCUAACUAAAACA
rnacentral:lncRNA from 1 species